rnacentral:tRNA from 1 species
GGGCGUUUAGCUCAGUGGUAGAGCGUUCGCCUUACACGCGAAUGGUCGGGGGUUCGAGCCCCUCAACGCCCA